rnacentral:rRNA from 1 species
GGGUCCGAGCGUUGUCCGGGAAUUAUUGGGCGUAAAGAGCUCGUAGGCGGCGUGUCACGUCUGCUGUGAAAGACCGGGGCUUAACUCCGGUUCUGCAGUGGAUACGGGCAUGCUAGAGGUAGGUAGGGGAGACUGGAAUUCCUGGUGUAGCGGUGAAAUGCGCAGAUAUCAGGAGGAACACCGGUGGCGAAGGCGGGUCUCUGGGCCUUACCUGACGCUGAGGAGCGAAAGCAUGGGGAGCGAACAGGAUUAGAUACCCUGGUAGUCCAUGCCGUAAACGUUGGGCGCUAGGUGUGGGGACUUUCCACGGUUUCCGCGCCGUAGCUAACGCAUUAAGCGCCCCGCCUGGGGAGUACGGCCGCAAGGCUAAAACUCAAAGGAAUUGACGGGGGCCCGCACAAGCGGCGGAGCAUGUUGCUUAAUUCGACGCAACGCGAAGAACCUUACCAAGGUUUGACAUCACCCGUGGACUCGCAGAGAUGUGAGGUCAUUUAGUUGGCGGGUGACAGGUGGUGCAUGGCUGUCGUCAGCUCGUGUCGUGAGAUGUUGGGUUAAGUCCCGCAACGAGCGCAACCCUUGUUCCAUGUUGCCAGCACGUAAUGGUGGGGACUCAUGGGAGACUGCCGGGGUCAACUCGGAGGAAGGUGGGGAUGACGUCAAGUCAUCAUGCCCCUUAUGUCUUGGGCUGCAAACAUGCUACAAUGGCCGGUACAAUGGGCGUGCGAUACCGUAAGGUGGAGCGAAUCCCUAAAAGCCGGUCUCAGUUCGGAUUGGGGUCUGCAACUCGACCCCAUGAAGGUGGAGUCGCUAGUAAUCGCGGAUCAGCAACGCCGCGGUGAAUACGUUCCCGGGCCUUGUACACACCGCCCGUCACGUCAUGAAAGUCGGCAACACCCGAAACUUGCGGCCUAACCCCUUGUGGGAGGGA